GUACGUAAUCAGGUGCACGCGAAGUGCUGAAGUGCUCGCCCGACGCCCUGGCGCUUGCGACGUUUCGUUUCAAUCUUGUGAUGCCCAGACCUCGCCCGUGGCCCGCCGCCCGCGGACUCUGGCUCGGCGAGGGCGCGAGGCUGAGGCCGAUGCCCGAUGGCGCCAUUGCGACAUCGACAUCGACGGGUGAUGGGCCGACGACGGGAAACAGGUUACCGCGGCGGCGUGGCCGCGAGCCCGUGAUGAAGGCAACAUCAAUGACAGCGGGCAGGCAAGCAUCAGGGGGCUGACUCUCCUGCUUCUGCUUCUGAUUGCUUCUGCAUCUGAUGUUCCUCCAACUCAAACCAACGUAAGUCCUAUUUUUCUAAUCCACAACGACAUAUCCCAAAACUAUUUACUCGCUCGGUUCUUUAU
rnacentral:lncRNA from 1 species